GAUCAUGGCUCAGGAUGAACGCUAGCGGCAGGCUUAACACAUGCAAGGUCGAGGGGCAUCGGGAGUAGCAAUACUUGCCGGCGACCGGCGCAAGGGUGCGUAACGCGUGAGCAACAUGCCCGUAUCAGGGGGAUAAUCCAUGGAAACGUGGUCUAAUACCCCAUAGUAAUUAUGUAAGGCAUCUUAUAUAAUUUAAAGCUUUGGUGGAUACGGAUUGGCUCGCGUGACAUUAGCUGGAUGGUAAGGUAACGGCUUACCAUGGCUACGAUGUCUAGGGGUUCUGAGAGGAAGGUCCCCCACACUGGAACUGAGACACGGUCCAGACUCCUACGGGAGGCAGCAGUGAGGAAUAUUGGACAAUGGAUGGAAAUCUGAUCCAGCCAUGCCGCGUGCAGGAAGACGGCCCUAUGGGUUGUAAACUGCUUUUGUAUGGGAGCAAUAAGGGCUACGUGUAGUCCGAUGAGAGUACCAUACGAAUAAGCACCGGCUAACUCCGUGCCAGCCGCGGC
rnacentral:rRNA from 1 species